rnacentral:piRNA from 1 species
UGUUCUUAGAAAUGGAUUUAUAGA